GAUGAACGCUGGCGGCAUGCCUAACACAUGCAAGUCGAACGGGGCAGCAAUGCCUAGUGGCGGACGGGUGAGGAAUACGUAGGAAUCUGCCCUUAAGUGGGGGAUAACCAGGGGAAACCCUGACUAAUACCGCAUGAUCUCUUCGGAGCAAAGAGGGGGGCCGCAAGGCCUCUCGCUUCUGGAUGAGCCUACGUCUGAUUAGCUAGUUGGUAGGGUAAAGGCCUACCAAGGCGACGAUCAGUAACUGGUCUGAGAGGAUGAUCAGUCACACCGGAACGGAGACACGGUCCGGACUCCUACGGGAGGCAGCAGUGGGGAAUUUUGGACAAUGGGCGCAAGCCUGAUCCAGCCAUGCCGCGUGCGGGAAGAAGGCCUUCGGGUUGUAAACCGCUUUUGGCAGGAACGAAACGGCGACUCCUAAUACGGGUGGCUAAUGACGGUACCUGCAGAAUAAGCACCGGCUAACUACGUGCCAGCCGCCGCGGUAAAAC
rnacentral:rRNA from 1 species